GAACAGAUUUCUCAGAAAAAGUCCCAGUGGAACAAGAUUCCUCAUUACAUACUACCUGGCUGCAUUACCACUCCUUAACUUGGUCUAACUGAGCUCUUCAAUCACUUGAUUCUUUCACACUAAAAUGCACGAGAACAAAUAGUACAGUUAAGUGUGGAAGAUGGUCUAAGUGUAGAAGACAAUCUACUACUUUUUAUCAGAUACAGAUGGAACAACAAAAAGAAUACAAAUUGCCAUAUUCCCCUCCAUGACCGUUAGCAAAUCUGUUCAUUUCUUUCUCAUCCUUAGGUCCUGAUUGAUAGGAGGAA